rnacentral:rRNA from 1 species
AGGACGAACGCUGGCGGCGUGCUUAACACAUGCAAGUCGAGCGGUAAGGCCUUUCGGGGUACACGAGCGGCGAACGGGUGAGUAACACGUGGGUGAUCUGCCCUGCACUCUGGGAUAAGCCUGGGAAACUGGGUCUAAUACCGGAUAUGACCUGCUCUCGCAUGGGGGUGGGUGGAAAGAUUUAUCGGUGCAGGAUGGGCCCCGCGGCCUAUCGA